GAUAUACACAGAAGAGAGAAAGAAAACGUGAGAGUAAGAGGAAAAAAAAUACUCUUGACAAGAAAAUUAGUUUCUUGGUCUUUCACGUUUUAGCUACAGUUUUUGAGAAAAACUUUAGCAUAAUAUUUCCAUUCAAUUUGUUCGCGGGUUUCAUUUAUCAAAGAGUUGAUAGCAAGGAUCGGUCUCGGUGUGGAUACGCAUAGAGUCUUCGUACUAUCGAAGAAACUUUGAAAAGAAGCUCUCUUCACCAGGUACGUCUUAAAUCCUAUUUUUAUACGUAAAUAAAUUUUAAACACGAGAAAAUCUACCUAGGAUUGUUGUUGUCUUCCGCUGCGUGUUACGAACACCCAUACGCAAUCCUACAGUAGAUGUUACAGAAUGAAUUCAAGUGAUUUAGAGCUUUGAAGUGUCAAUAAAAGUCCAAAAAAUUAAACCCGGAUCAGAUCGGGGAUCAACGGAUGAUAGUUACAUUAAUAAUACAUCAAGAAAAAGUGUAUUAUUUAUAAUUAAUAAAUGUAUUAGUUAUAAUUAGCUUAUAGAUUGACACUACACUAAAUAUAAGUACAUAAGUAAACUACCAGAAAUAAGCUAAUUUGUGGGGGUUAUGAGAAACCCCAUUAUAAGGUCAUUUUGUUGCAUUUUCUUCAACCCUGCAAUAUAGUUCUUUUUGUGGCAAUUUUAUUGUGAGUGUUUGUGAUAAGCUCCCGCAAAUCGUAUUAACUUGUGGAGGUUUAUAAAUCACCGCAAUUCAAUAUAAUAUGUAGCAGUUAAUAAUCUCUACUUUACUGAAGGACGCUGAUCAAAAUGACCAAUUUAAUAUAAUGUAUGAUUAUUUCUAACCUCAAUAUAAAUUGAGUCAUUCUUCAAACUCUAUUGUGCUAUUAUAUUUUGAUAAUAGUUAAUUGAAAAGCUCUUAACUAAAUAUGCCGUUAUUAUAUCUUGUCUUUUCUUGAAUAAGAUUGCAAGAUUAGGUUUCUUGUUGAAUAAUGUCAGCUUUGAACAAUAAUUAAUAGAUUAAUCGCACAUACUUAAAAGAGGGGUUAGAGAUAACGGAGCUUUGACGCGUUUGAUGUGAGUCGUUUGAAUUGCUAGAGUUAGUUUGAGAGAAUAAUUGUAAAAAAUACUACUUUUAAUCGAGAAAUAAUUACGUUAUGAGAAAAUUUAUGAUCAAUAAAAAAUAGUUCGGUAAUAGAAAACACGUUAGACACUUGUUGAAAAAUACCUUUAUUUACUUAGUUACUUAUUUUUAUUGCUUUAACAUUUGUUAAUCAAUAGCUUAAAUACAAAUUACAAUUUUUAUAACUCUAGCUUUUGUUAUUUUAAUUUAUUAUUUGUUCGUAAUUUAGUUAUAUUUUCCAAUUUUUAAAUUUAAACAGUAUAAAGAAAAUAAAAGAGAAAAAUAGAGAAAAGAAAGAUCUAAAAGACGAUAUCAGCCACCAUCUUUAUAGCUUUUAAUCUGCACAUUAGGGGGUAAAUUGGUUAUUAGACUCAAAUUUAUAGAACCGGGAAAAUUUCUUCUUUUCUAAAGGCACAAUUAAGGGUGUAUUUUGUCCCGGGCCCGGGCCUCACGGGCCGGGCUUCGCGGUCUCGGGUUUCGUGGUCUGAGCUCUGGCGGUUCCAGGUCUGGCGGUUCCGGGUCUGGCGGUCCCUGUCUUCGUGGGCUCAAUGGGUAAGACCAGCACGUGACGGGCCUAGGCCCAUAUAGUCCUGGGCUAAGCGGGCCGGGCUUGGCGGGCCUGACGGGCUUUUUUUAAGGCAAUAUUUUGUAUAGUAGUUAUUAUUAUAAUAUAGAAUAUAUUUAUUAUAGUAUACUAGUUGUUAGUAUAGUAUAUAUAAUAUAUAUUUCAUUGUAUAUUUUAUUAUAGUAAUUAGUAUAUAUUGUAUGUUAUGUAUAUAUAUAUAUUCCCUUAUAUGAAUCCCUUAUAUAUUUUCUUAUAUGUUAUGUAUAUAUAUUCUCUUAUAUAUUUUCUUGUAGUAUAUAUAUUGUAUGUUAUGUAUGUAUAUUAACUUAUAUAGUUAUAUAUUUUGUUGUAGUAUAUAUAUUAUAUCUCUUAUGUAUAAUGUAUAUAUAUAUAUAUUUUGUUGUAGUAUAUAUAUUGUAUCUCUUAUUUAUAAUGUAUAUAUAUUCUCUUAUAUAUACUGUAUCUUAUGUAUAUAUGUUAUUACUUAUAUAUUUUCUUGUAGUUUAGGUUGUAAGAAAAUAUUGUAUGUUAUAUAUAUGUAUCUUAUGUAUAUAUAUUAACUUAUAUAUUUAUAUAUUUUGUUGUAGUAUAUAUAUUGUAUCUCUUAUGUAUAAUGUAUAUAUAUUCUCUUANNNNNNNNNNNNNNNNNNNNNNNNNNNNNNNNNNNNNNNNNNNNNNNNNNNNNNNNNUAUGUAUAAUGUAUAUAUAUUCUCUUAUAUAUAUUGUAUCUUAUGUAUAUAUGUUAUUACUUAUAUAUUUUCUUGUAGUUUAGGUUGUAUGUUAUGUGUAUAUAUCUCGUAUAUAUUUUCUUGUAGUAUUCCUUCCCCCAAUGUAAUGAGCACAACAAAGUACUAAUACCACCACUAAAAGAAAAAAAUGCUAAAAGAAGAUGUGCCAAAGUACAUGUUACAUCAUAAUCUACAUUGUAUCUAAAAAAUCUCAUAAAUCCGUCAAGGUUAGGAGGUUGUGUUGGUCUUGGUGGAAAAGAAGCUUGUUCAUCACCACUUCCGGGCGAACACGAAUCCUCCGCAAGUUCCGCUAUCAUUUCUUCAUAAGCUUCAUCUAUCGGCGGUUGUGAUUC
rnacentral:lncRNA from 1 species